rnacentral:sRNA from 1 species
CCGGGGGUUUCCAACCCCCGGCUAGUAUAUUUCGUGCCUUCAGCACU